CCUACGGGAGGCAGCAGUGGGGAAUUUUGGACAAUGGGCGAAAGCCUGAUCCAGCAAUGCCGCGUGAGUGAAGAAGGCCUUCGGGUUGUAAAGCUCUUUUGUCAGGGAAGAAACGGUGAGGGCUAAUAUCCCUUGCUAAUGACGGUACCUGAAGAAUAAGCACCGGCUAACUACGUGCCAGCAGCCGCGGUAAUACGUAGGGUGCAAGCGUUAAUCGGAAUUACUGGGCGUAAAGCGUGCGCAGGCGGUUUUGUAAGUCUGUCGUGAAAUCCCCGGGCUCAACCUGGGAAUUGCGAUGGAGACUGCAAGGCUAGAAUCUGGCAGAGGGGGGUAGAAUUCCACGUGUAGCAGUGAAAUGCGUAGAGAUGUGGAGGAACACCGAUGGCGAAGGCAGCCCCCUGGGUCAAGAUUGACGCUCAUGCACGAAAGCGUGGGGAGCAAACAGGAUUAGAUACCCUGGUAGUCCACGCCCUAAACGAUGUCUACUAGUUGUCGGGUUUUAAUUAACUUGGUAACGCAGCUAACGCGUGAAGUAGACCGCCUGGGGAGUACGGUGCAAGNUUAAAACGUUCAAAUGAAUUGACGGCUUGNGAGNGCGAGGCGACGACGAGGAGAGG
rnacentral:rRNA from 1 species